rnacentral:lncRNA from 1 species
CUUUCAGCGGACUUUUCACGAUUUCCGAAGAUCCGUCCGUCGGAUUUUCGAACGGAUUGCGCCAGCGCGUUCAGCACGACUGGGGCAUCAAAUCUACCAUUUUUCUUUGUCCGAUUUGGUCUCCGAUCAGCGUCGAAACCAGCCCUCUUUUUUUCCACCCAUAUAACCAUUUAUAUUAACACUUGUAAUUUCAAUCAAACCCCUUUUUCUCGACAACCGUGCAUCAGAACCCAAUUCCGUCAGUGCCAUUGGGUCCAGAAUGGUCAAGCCGUUCGAAACGAACUAUUGAAGUCCUAUAUUCGGAGUUUCACGUGCACCAGAACCCUUCUCUAAUCAUCGGCUCAUCCGGAAAACCGGAGUUACUAUUCACUUAAGUCAUCGGUUCGGGUCGCGUAACUUCUCCGUCUUAGCUCAUUUUCUCCUGAAAUUUGACGAGUGCUUUAGUAAUUACAUUACACAGAAAAACAUCGUCAACCAAGGGUUUAAUUUUAUUUUUCAAAAACUUCAGUUAUUACAUUUCUCCUCUCUCUUCCUUCCCUCGUUUCUCUCUGUUUCACCUAUUAAAUAAGAGGAGCUCACUCUCUCUUAUUUUUGAUGGUGGUUUCUUCUCUUUUUUCUUUGCCAACAACAAGAGAAGUUUACUCUCCUCGUAUUUAUGGCUCUUAUAUAGGCCUAUAAAAGAAAGGGAGUGAUCUCCCUCAAGAAGUGUGACAUGAAGUAAAGUGUGAGAGAAAGAGAAAGCUCUCUUCUAAGCAUAUAGAGCUUUCUUUUAAUUAUAAGAGAAGGUUCUCCUAUAAUAAUUUGUUUCUAUGUUACAGUUAAUCCUCUUGAAAUUGUUAACACAAUUUGAGAAUUAAUUUUUCUUCACAUUGACAUAAGAAAUUACGAAAGAUGUUUUAAGAUUAUGCUGUAAUUGUGUGAAGCACGAAUCCUGAAGCAACCUUGUGUGGAUACACAUAGAGGCCGACCACUUAAGCGGCUCAAAGGAUCAGAAGUUCAAAUCCAUAUCAACCAACAAAUAAUUCAGAUAAUUAACAAAAAUUGAAAUUCGAACUCUUCUUCUAAUUAGAUUAGAAUAAUAACUUUUAUGUAUCAUACGAGAUAAUCUUGAUACAUAUUUUCUAAUA